GAUGAACGCUGGCGGCGUGCUUAACACAUGCAAGUCGAACGGAAAGGCCCAAGCUUGCUUGGGUACUCGAGUGGCGAACGGGUGAGUAACACGUGGGUGAUCUGCCCUGCACUUCGGGAUAAGCCUGGGAAACUGGGUCUAAUACCGGAUAGGACCACAUUUUGGAUGGUGUGGUGGAAAGUUUUUCGGUGUGGGAUGAGCUCGCGGCCUAUCAGCUUGUUGGUGGGGUAAUGGCCUACCAAGGCGUCGACGGGUAGCCGGCCUGAGAGGGUGUACGGCCACAUUGGGACUGAGAUACGGCCCAGACUCCUACGGGAGGCUGCAGUGGGGAAUAUUGCACAAUGGGCGCAAGCCUGAUGCAGCGACGCCGCGUGGGGGAUGACAGCCUUCGGGUUGUAAACUCCUUUCGCUAGGGACGAGGCGUUUUUGUGACGGUACCUGGAGAAGAAGCACCGACUGACUACGUG
rnacentral:rRNA from 1 species